AGGGCACCACCAGGAGUGGAGCCUGCGGCUUAAUUUGACUCAACACGGGAAAACUCACCCGGCCCGGACACUGGAAGGAUUGACAGAUUGAGAGCUCUUUCUUGAUUCAGUGGGUGGUGGUGCAUGGCCGUUCCUAGUUGGUUGAGCGAUUUGUCUGGUUAAUUCCGAUAACGGACGAGACUCUAGCCUACUAAAUAGAUCGUCGGCUUACAAACGCCGAUGAGACUUCUUAGAGGGACAGGCGGCGAUUCAGCCGCACGAAACAGAGCAAUAACAGGUCUGUGAUGCCCUUAGAUGUCCGGGGCCGCACGCGCGCUACACUGAAGUGAUCAGCGUGCAUUUUCAGCCUACUCUGCCAAGAGUGGGAAACCCAAUGAACCUUCUUCGUGAUUGGGAUAGGGGAUUGUAAUUAUUCCCCUUGAACGAGGAAUUCCCAGUAAGCGCGAGUCAUAAGCUCGCGUUGAUUACGUCCCUGCCCUUUGUACACACCGCCCGUCGCUACUACCGAUUGAAUGUUUU
rnacentral:rRNA from 1 species